AUUGAACGCUGGCGGCAUGCCUUACACAUGCAAGUCGAACGGCAGCACGGGAGCAAUCCUGGUGGCGAGUGGCGAACGGGUGAGUAAUAUAUCGGAACGUGCCCAGUCGUGGGGAUAACGUAGCGAAAGCUACGCUAAUACCGCAUACGAUCUAUGGAUGAAAGCGGGGGAUCGCAAGACCUCGCGCGAUUGGAGCGGCCGAUAUCAGAUUAGGUAGUUGGUGGGGUAAAGGCUCACCAAGCCAACGAUCUGUAGCUGGUCUGAGAGGACGACCAGCCACACUGGAACUGAGACACGGCCCAGACUCCUACGGGAGGCAGCAGUGGGGAAUUUUGGACAAUGGGCGCAAGCCUGAUCCAGCAAUGCCGCGUGCAGGAUGAAGGCCUUCGGUU
rnacentral:rRNA from 1 species